AGUAAUACAUAAGUAACCUGCCCCAGACAGGGGGAGUAACUAUUGGAAACGAUAGCUAAGACCGCAUAGGUACGGACACUGCAUGGUGACCGUAUUAAAAGUGCCUCAAAGCACUGGUAGAGGAUGGACUUAUGGCGCAUUAGCUGGUUGGCGGGGUAACGGCCCACCAAGGCGACGAUGCGUAGCCGACCUGAGAGGGUGACCGGCCACACUGGGACUGAGACACGGCCCAG
rnacentral:rRNA from 1 species